AGCUCCAUUAGUGUAUAUUUAAGUUGUUGCGGUUAAAACGUUCGUAGUCUAAUUUCGGGCGGUUUCGCGAGAGUGUCUGGCAGAUGCUGUGACCUUUGGCGUCCGUCUUUUCUCCUUUAUGCGGCCCCGCGUUAUUAACUUAAUGUGGGUGUCCGUUAAAGGUCGUUCACCUUGAACAAAUCAGAGCGUUCAAAGCAGGCCACAUUGGCCUUUGAAUGUUUAUGCAUGGGAUGAUGGAAUAGGGCUCAGGUCCUAUUUUGUUGGUUUCUAGGAACUGAGUAAUGAUUAAUAGGAGCGGUUGGGGGUAUCGGUACUGUGGCGUUAGAGGUGAAAUUCUUGGAUCGCCGCAUGACCAACUUCUGCGAAAGCAUUUACCAAGCACGUCUCCA
rnacentral:rRNA from 1 species